GCUCCCUCCGCCGCCACGUGCUCAUCGGCCGGCGAGGCUGCCGUCGCCUCUCCCGCUCGUCCUCGAGUCUCUCUCCGGUAGGCGGCGACGAGUGAGCAUCCCGUGAGGCUUCCUCGUCCACAUCCUGUCGCCGCCCGCCCGUUCGUCCGAAGCCAAUCUCAGAUCUGUUUGUUCGAGCUCAACUAGGGGCGACACAGCGACCCAGUGCAGAAGCGCCUGGAUUCUUGGUCCUUGGAGUUCACGAGCUCUCGGGCGCCGCACCCCACUGCUUGUCACUGCCUCUCUAACCUGUUGGUGACUACUGCCUCCCUAACCUGUCGAUGAAGCCCUACAAACCAGCUGUGUCUGGCUCAUCUCGUCACUGAGAUUUUUCAGUUCAAAAUCAGUUUCGAAGACAUCAACUGAAGAUGAUGUGUCCCCUUCAAAUAUGAAUUAUCAUGCUAAACGUUUCCCGCGAACCACCAAGUACCUGAUGUUUCCCAUCAACAGAAUGAAUUGUGUAAUGGAGCAAACUUGGUCAUAUAGUAGUCAUCGGCUUCCAUUUUGUAAAACCUGCUUAUAUGCGGUGACAACGUAUCUAUGUUAUGUUGACUAUGUUGUAAUCAGAUGAGAACAUAUGAACAAUUGGUAUUGUAAGAGUUUAAUCCAUAUCAGAGUCAUGUGUGCUAUUA